CCUACGGGGGGCAGCAGUAGGGAAUAUUGCUCAAUGGGGGAAACCCUGAAGCAGCAACGCCGCGUGGAGGAUGAAGGUUUUCGGAUUGUAAACUCCUUUUGUUAGAGAAGAUAAUGACGGUAUCUAACGAAUAAGCACCGGCUAACUCCGUGCCAGCAGCCGCGGUAAUACGGAGGGUGCAAGCGGUACUCGGAAUCACUGGGCGUAAAGGGCGCGUAGGCGGGAUAGCAAGUCAGAUGUGAAAUCCUAUGGCUUAACCAUAGAACUGCAUUUGAAACUGUUAUUCUAGAGUAUGGGAGAGGUAGGUGGAAUUCUUGGUGUAGGGGUAAAAUCCGUAGAGAUCAAGAGGAAUACUCAUUGCGAAGGCGACCUGCUAGAACAUAACUGACGCUGAUGCGCGAAAGCGUGGGGAGCAAACAGGAUUAGAUACCCGAGUAGUC
rnacentral:rRNA from 1 species